CGAAAUGACCAGGCAGAAAGUUAUUCUCUAAAAAGCUCCAGCAAAAGCUUUAGCAUGUUGGGUUCCUGUAAAAGCUUUUCCAUAUUUUUAGGAUUUUCCUCCUGAUGUACGCUGCUGGUAUUGCUACCUCCUGAUGUUCGGAAUAAAUUCUAAGAGAUGGUCCAUGCGCUUCACACAGUUCUUCCGUAUCAUUUUUUCCAUUAACUGGAUGUAUGAUUUACAAAAAUGUGGUAUCUGGUUUCAAGACAGUCAGCACAACACGGAAAAAUUCUUAACUGUUAUAUUUAUAUUUUGGCCAAUAACACAAACGAAAGUUUAUUUGAUUUUUAUAAAAGUAUAUUUUAAGUGCAGUACAAAGAAUUCCAAAAAAAAAACCUGUUUUGUGCAUGAAAAAUUGUCUAUAUGUUACUAUAAAGCUAAAAAAAAAAAACGAAAUUGUUGUUA